ACCAGAAUGGCUGAGUGGUUAAGGCGUUGGACUUAAGUUCAAAUAGACAUGUGUCUGCGUGGGUUCAAUCCCCACUUCUGGUA
rnacentral:tRNA from 1 species